rnacentral:rRNA from 1 species
UUCGUAGGUGGAUAAUUAAGUCAGAGGUGAAAUCCUGCAGCUCAACUGUAGAAUUGCCUUUGAUACUGGUUAUCUUGAGUCAUUAUGAAGUGGUUAGAAUGUGUAGUGUAGCGGUGAAAUGCAUAGAUAUUACACAGAAUACCGAUUGCGAAGGCAGAUCACUAAUAAUGUACUGACACUGAGGGACGAAAGCGUGGGGAGCGAACAGGAUUAGAUACCCUGGUAGUC